UACAGAGGGUGCAAGCGUUGUUCGGAAUUAUUGGGCGUAAAGCGCGUGUAGGCGGCUUUGCAAGUCGGGUGUGAAAGCCCUCAGCUCAACUGAGGAAGUGCGCCCGAAACUGCAGAGCUUGAGUGCCGGAGAGGGUGGCGGAAUUCCCCAAGUAGAGGUGAAAUUCGUAGAUAUCGAGAGGAACACCAGUGGCGAAGGCGAGUCCCUGGACAACUCCUGACACUGAGGCACGAAAGCUAGGGUAGCAAACGGG
rnacentral:rRNA from 1 species